AAUCUCAUGGAAACAUUUCUGCACAAACUCGAUUAUGGAUACCAAUGUGCCAAAAUGCUUUUGCUACAUU
rnacentral:pre_miRNA from 8 species